rnacentral:rRNA from 1 species
CAGUUAAAAAGCUCGUAGUUGGAUUUCGGAGUGGGCCAGUUGGUCCGCCGCAAGGUGUGUUACUGACUGGUUUGCUCUUCUUCGCAAAGACUGCGUGUGCUCUUCAGUGAGUGUGCGUAGGAUUUACGACGUUUACUUUGAAAAAAUUAGAGUGUUCAAAGCAGGCUAUUGCUUGAAUACAUGAGCAUGGAAUAAUGGAAUAGGACUUUGGUCCCAUUUUGUUGGUUUCUAGGGCCGAAGUAAUGAUUAAGAGGGACAAUUGGGGGCAUCCGUAUUUCGUUGUCAGAGGUGAAAUUCUUGGAUAUACGAAAGACGAACAACUGCGAAAGCACUUGCCAAGAGUGUUUUCAUUAAUCAAGAACGAAAGUUAGAGGAUCGAAGACGAUCAGAUACCGUCCUAGUUCUAACCAUAAACGAUGUCGACUAGGGAUCAGCGGGCGUUAUUGUACGACCCCGUUGGCACCUUACGGGAAACCAAAGUUUCUGGAUUCCGGGGGAAGUAUGGUUGCAAAGCUGAAACUUAAAGGAAUUGACGGAAGGGCACCACCAGGAGUGGAGCCUGUGGCUCGAUUUGACUCAACACGGGAAAACUUACCAGGUCCAGACAUAGUAAGGAUUGACAGGUUGAGAGCCCUUUCU